GUGGCGAACGGGUGAGUAACACGUGAGUAACCUGCCCUUAACUCUGGGAUAAGCCUGGGAAACUGGGUCUAAUACCGGAUAGGAGCGCCUACCGCAUGGUGGGUGUUGGAAAGAUUUAUCGGUUUUGGAUGGACUCGCGGCCUAUCAGCUUGUUGGUGAGGUAAUGGCUCACCAAGGCGACGACGGGUAGCCGGCCUGAGAGGGUGACCGGCCACACUGGGACUGAGACACGGCCCAGACUCCUACGGGAGGCAGCAGUGGGGAAUAUUGCACAAUGGGCGCAAGCCUGAUGCAGCGACGCCGCGUGAGGGAUGACGGCCUUCGGGUUGUAAACCUCUUUCAGUAGGGAAGAAGCGAAAGUGACGGUACCUGCAGAAGAAGCACCGGCUAACUACGUGCCAGCAGCCGCGGUAAUACGUAGGGUGCGAGCGUUAUCCGGAAUUAUUGGGCGUAAAGAGCUCGUAGGCGGUUUGUCGCGUCUGUCGUGAAAGUCCGGGGCUUAACCCCGGAUCUGCGGUGGGUACGGGCAGACUAGAGUGCAGUAGGGGAGACUGGAAUUCCUGGUGUAGCGGUGGAAUGCGCAGAUAUCAGGAGGAACACCGAUGGCGAAGGCAGGUCUCUGGGCUGUAACUGACGCUGAGGAGCGAAAGCAUGGGGAGCGAACAGGAUUAGAUACCCUGGUAGUCCAUGCCGUAAACGUUGGGCACUAGGUGUGGGGACCAUUCCACGGUUUCCGCGCCGCAGCUAACGCAUUAAGUGCCCCGCCUGGGGAGUACGGCCGCAAGGCUAAAACUCAAAGGAAUUGACGGGGGCCCGCACAAGCGGCGGAGCAUGCGGAUUAAUUCGAUGCAACGCGAAGAACCUUACCAAGGCUUGACAUGUUCUCGAUCGCCGUGGAGAUACGGUUUCCCCUUUGGGGCGGGUUCACAGGUGGUGCAUGGUUGUCGUCAGCUCGUGUCGUGAGAUGUUGGGUUAAGUCCCGCAACGAGCGCAACCCUCGUUCCAUGUUGCCAGCACGUAAUGGUGGGGACUCAUGGGAGACUGCCGGGGUCAACUCGGAGGAAGGUGAGGACGACGUCAAAUCAUCAUGCCCCUUAUGUCUUGGGCUUCACGCAUGCUACAAUGGCCGGUACAAUGGGUUGCGAUACUGUGAGGUGGAGCU
rnacentral:rRNA from 1 species